AAUCAACGCUGGCGGCGUGCCUCAGACAUGCAAGUCGAACGAUUAAAGCUCCCUUCGGGGAGUGCAUAAAGUGGCGCACGGGUGAGUAACACGUAAGUAAUCUACCUCUGAGUGGGGAAUAACAACCGGAAACGGUUGCUAAUACCGCAUAACGCAGCGGCACCGCAAGGUGACAGUUGUUAAAGAUUUAUCGCUUGGAGAGGAGCUUGCGGCAGAUUAGCUAGUUGGUAAGGUAAUGGCUUACCAAGGCUACGAUCUGUAGCCGGUCUAAGAGGACGGUCGGUCACACUGACACUGAAUAACGGGUCAGACUCCUACGGGAGGCAGCAGUCGGGAAUUUGGGCAAUGGGGGAAACCCUGACCCAGCAACGCCGCGUGAAGGAUGAAGUAUUUCGGUAUGCAAACUUCGAAAGAAUAGGAAGAAUUAAUGACGGUACAAUUUAUAAGGUCCGGCUAACUACGUGCCAGCAGCCGCGGUAAUACGUAGGGACCAAGCGUUGUUCGGAUUUACUGGGCGUAAAGGCG
rnacentral:rRNA from 1 species